GUUCCCACCCCCCCACCAAAAGUUUUGAUCUUAGUUUGAGGAUUGUAGCUUUUUUUUUUUUUUUUUUUUCAUCUUGUGGUAGACGAUCCAAGAUAUGAUUUUUAUUUUUUAUUUUCCUUUAAAGGAUCUGAUUUCUUUGUUUUUGAAAAAAGAAGUAUGGGUUUCUUUUUUAUUUCUGGGCUUUGUUUCGUUAAUAGCCUAAGAAAGCGUUAUUUUUGGGGGUCGAGGUUUCUUUGCUGCUGCGUCGACUAUCUCGUCGUUUUUACAGAGAGAAGCUUCUGAUGCACUGAUAUAAAAGGAGAGAAACUACACUGUUCAAGAGAGGCGGUGCUUUAGGGACUUUUCAUCUUCCGGUGCUUUGUUUGUUUUUCUUUUGUAAUUGAAGGAAGACAAGGAUAGAGAUGGAGUGGCCCGCUUGUGUGGACGAAUACGAGAAGCUUGUGAUCCGGAUGAACACUCCCAGGGUCGUGAUCGACAAUGCCGUCUGCCCAACUGCGAGUUGGUCACGUUUUCCAUGUGACUGAUCAAGAUGGAAACAAACUGAUGGACGAGAGCGUUAUCAGCUUAUUAUUAUCUCACAAUAAAAAUCCUAUCCUAACCCCGUGUGAUUCGCACGUACAAGGGACACGUGAACAACCGGAACUUUGUCGGGCUAUCAGGGUGGAGAAAUGGCGGGUUACUCGGUUGCGGAUCGGAGAACAACCAGCUUUUUGUGUACGAUUUGAGGUGGGGUGAGCCUAUAUGGGUGCAUGGGUUCGAGCCAGUGAGUCGAGCCCGGCGCGAGGAUGAGUUCGUUAGUAGCGUGCGUUGGAGGCAAGUUGGGGACGAAAGCUGCGCACUUGUGGCCGGGGAUCAGAUGGAGUUUUGCAGGUUUUUGUGGGCAAAAGGAAGCCAGAUUUAAGUCUGUCGACCCAUAAAUGAUAUGCAUUCAUAUAUCUUUAUUAGCAGCACAAAGAGAGAGAAAAGAAAAAGAAAGACAGACGCCAUGCACUUUGCCUAGGUGUUAUUGAUCAUUUCUUUUUUUUCUAAUCAGCUGUUAUCUGAUCAUGAUCUGCUAACAAAACUGCAAAACCUGCAUGGUGCAUUUUCUUUAAACCCCAUGUUUUAUAUUUUAGGGGAGAUUUGGUGAGUUUGAUUUGUUUUGACUCUUUCAUUUUCCCAAGGCAAUCUUCACAUUUACUGGUUGUACUACAUAUGGCCUGCAUGUAAUUAAGCUGAUCGUUUUUAUUUCUGGGCAA